rnacentral:rRNA from 1 species
UACGGAGGGUGCAAGCGUUAAUCGGAAUUACUGGGCGUAAAGCGUGCGUAGGCGGUUCGUUAAGUCUGUUGUGAAAGCCCCGGGCUCAACCUGGGAAUGGCAAUGGAUACUGGCGAGCUAGAGUGUGUCAGAGGAUGGUGGAAUUCCCGGUGUAGCGGUGAAAUGCGUAGAGAUCGGGAGGAACAUCAAUGGCGAAGGCGGCCAUCUGGGACAACACUGACGCUGAGGCACGAAAGCGUGGGGAGCAAACAGG